GGACUGUGUAAACACCAAUGAUAUCCAUAUACACCGGGGGUGAACCAACUUGAAAAUGUUAUUACUGUUCUUACAUGUAGAAAGUUUAUAAUGUCGCUCUACAAUAUCCACACAAAACUGUAUAUCGUGUUUAUUUUUUCCUCUCGGAUGUAUCAAUAAACUUCGAAUGGCUUAUUUACGUGUAUAACAUAUACCCAACACUCCGAAUACCGAAAUUACCUUUUUCUUUUUUUUUUUUUUCUUUUUUUUUUCAUCAUGGUUGGGCUUAAUUAAAUCAUUUUACACAAAGUAAGUAUAACGGAAAUACGCCUAAAACUUUUUUUUAGUUAAACGGGUAAAAGGAAAACUAAAGAUAAUACUAUAUAUUUUUAUGACUUUUUUUUAACUUUCACGAAGAGCUUUGGGAUUCCAGUAUUUACUUUAAGGAUGUACACCUCCGAGGAGUCAAACAUUUCAAGAAUUAGACUGUUUUUUCUUAAAAUGAUAUUUUUGUCUAUAUGGCUUUAAAAGAAAGUAAUUAAUGGAGACAAAAUCACAUGGUGGUGCACCUUGUUAAUACGGCCAUUUGAAAGUUACCUAUUUUUUUUAUUUU
rnacentral:lncRNA from 1 species